AUUGAACGCUGGCGGCAGGCCUAACACAUGCAAGUCGAGCGGAUGAAGGGAGCUUGCUCCUGGAUUCAGCGGCGGACGGGUGAGUAAUGCCUAGGAAUCUGCCUGGUAGUGGGGGAUAACGUCCGGAAACGGGCGCUAAUACCGCAUACGUCCUGAGGGUGAAAGUGGGGGAUCUUCGGACCUCACGCUAUCAGAUGAGCCUAGGUCGGAUUAGCUAGUUGGUGGGGUAAAGGCCUACCAAGGCGACGAUCCGUAACUGGUCUGAGAGGAUGAUCAGUCACAUUGGAACUGAGACACGGUCCAGACUCCUACGGGAGGCAGCAGUGGGGAAUAUUGGACAAUGGGCGAAAGCCUGAUCCAGCCAUGCCGCGUGUGUGAAGAAGGUCUUCGGAUUGUAAAGCACUUUAAGUUGGGAGGAAGGGCAGUAAGUUAAUACCUUGCUGUUUUGACGUUACCAACAGAAUAAGCACCGGCUAACUUCGUG
rnacentral:rRNA from 1 species